UCCACCAUGGCCUGGACUCCUCUUCUCCUCCUCUUCCUCUCUCACUGCUCAGUUUCCCUGUCUCAGGCUGUGGUGACUCAGGAACCCUCCCUGUCUGCAUCUCCUGGAGCAUCUGCCAGACUUGCUUGCACCUUGAGAAGUGACAUCAGUGUUGGUGGUAAAAACUUAUACUGGUACCAGCAGAAGCCAGGGAGCCCUCCCAGGUUCCUCCUGUAUUACUACUCAGACUCAGAUAAGCAACUGGGCUCUGGCUUCCCCAACCGCUUCUCUGGCUCAAAGGACAAGUCAGCCAAUGCAGGUAUUUUGCAUAUUUCUGGGCUGCAGCCUGAGGAUGAAGCCGACUACUACUGUGCCAUCUGGCACAAUAGUGCUCUCACAGUGACACUCUCUGAUGGAGAAGUGGCACAAAAACCCAGCCUGCCCUGGCAAGCAGACUGUGAUGCCUUAUAA